AUUGAACGCUGGCGGCAUGCUUUACACAUGCAAGUCGGACGGCAGCACAGAGAAGCUUGCUUCUUGGGUGGCGAGUGGCGAACGGGUGAGUAACAUAUCGGAACGUACCGAGCAGUGGGGGAUAACUAAUCGAAAGAUUAGCUAAUACCGCAUAUCUUCUGAGGAAGAAAGCAGGGGACCAUUUGGCCUUGCGCUGUUUGAGCGGCCGAUAUCUGAUUAGCUAGUUGGUGGGGUAACGGCCUACCAAGGCGACGAUCAGUAGCGGGUCUGAGAGGAUGAUCAGCCACACUGGGACUGAGACACGGCCCAGACUCCUACGGGAGGCAGCAGUGGGGAAUUUUGGACAAUGGGCGCAAGCCUGAUCCAGCCAUGCCGCGUGUCUGAAGAAGGCCUUCGGGUUGUAAAGGACUUUUGUCAGGGAAGAAAAGGGCGGGGUUAAUACCCCUGUCUGAUGACGGUACCUGAAGAAUAAGCACCGGCUAACUACGUG
rnacentral:rRNA from 1 species